AUUGAACGCUGGCGGCAGGCCUAACACAUGCAAGUCGAGCGGAUGAAGGGAGCUUGCUCCUGGAUUCAGCGGCGGACGGGUGAGUAAUGCCUAGGAAUCUGCCUGUUAGUGGGGAUAACGUCCGGAAACGGGCGCUAAUACCGCAUACGUCCUGAGGGAGAAAGUGGGGGAUCUUCGGAACUCACGCUAUCAGAUGGGCCUAGGUCGGAUUAGCUAGUUGGUGGGGUAAAGGCCUACCAAGGCGACGAUCCGUAACUGGUCUGAGAGGAUGAUCAGUCACACUGGAACUGAGACACGGUCCAGACUCCUACGGGAGGCAGCAGUGGGGAAUAUUGGACAAUGGGCGAAAGCCUGAUCCAGCCAUGCCGCGUGUGUGAAGAAGGUCUUCGGAUUGUAAAGCACUUUAAGUUGGGAGGAAGGGCAGUAAGUUAAUACCUUGCUGUUUUGACGUUACCAACAGAAUAAGCACCGGCUAACUUCGUG
rnacentral:rRNA from 1 species